GACGUAGGGCGCGAGCGUUGUCCGGAUUUAUUGGGCGUAAAGAGCUCGUAGGCGGUUUUGCAAGUCGGGUGUGAAAGCCCUCGGCUCAACCGAGGAAGUGCGCCCGAAACUGCAGAGCUUGAGUACCGGAGAGGAUGGCGGAAUUCCCCAAGUAGAGGUGAAAUUCGUAGAUAUGGGGAGGAACACCGGUGGCGAAGGCGGCCAUCUGGACGGAUACUGACGCUGAGACGCGAAAGCGUGGGGAGCAAACAGG
rnacentral:rRNA from 1 species